GUGUCAGCAGCCGCGGUAAUACAGAGGUCUCAAGCGUUGUUCGGAUUCAUUGGGCGUAAAGGGUGCGUAGGUGGCGCCGUAAGUCAGGUGUGAAAUCUCGGGGCUCAACCCCGAAACUGCACUUGAUACUGCGGUGCUCGAGUACUGGAGAGGAGAUUGGAAUUUACGGUGUAGCAGUGAAAUGCGUAGAUAUCGUAAGGAAGACCAGUGGCGAAGGCGAAUCUCUGGACAGUUACUGACACUGAGGCACGAAGGCCAGGGGAGCAAACGGGAUUAGAUACCCCCGUAGUCC
rnacentral:rRNA from 1 species